rnacentral:tRNA from 1 species
GCCUUCGUGGCGUAGUGGUCAGCGCGCUUGACGCGUUAUUCGUGAGGUCCGUGGUUCGAGUCCCGGCAAGGGCA